rnacentral:rRNA from 1 species
AUACGUAGGGUGCAAGCGUUAAUCGGAAUUACUGGGCGUAAAGCGUGCGCAGGCGGUUUUGUAAGACAGAGGUGAAAUCCCCGGGCUCAACCUGGGAACUGCCUUUGUGACUGCAAGGCUAGAGUGCGGCAGAGGGGGAUGGAAUUCCGCGUGUAGCAGUGAAAUGCGUAGAUAUGCGGAGGAACACCGAUGGCGAAGGCAAUCCCCUGGGCCUGUACUGACGCUCAUGCACGAAAGCGUGGGGAGCAAACAGGAUUAGGUACCCUGGUAGUCCACGCCCUAAACGAUGUCAACUGGUUGUUGGGUCUUCAUUGACUCAGUAACGAAGCUAACGCGUGAAGUUGACCGCCUGGGGAGUACGGCCGCAAGGUUGAAACUCAAAGGAAUUGACGGGG